CAUAUAACUUAAACUCUAGACCCUAUCUGCACGGUAUAAGUCUAGUAUAUAUUUCAUGAAAUUAAAUGUUUUAUUAGAUGGUUAGAUGAUAAUUGAUUAUAGGAAACUGAAUACAAGUAGCAAUACAUAUGUACCCAACACUAAAUUUAAUUAAUUAUAAACUCCAAAACAUAAAUUUUAUAUUCUAAAACUAACCUCUAACACUACAUUCAAACCCUAAACUCUAAACCUAAACUCUAUAUUCAAAUCAUAAUUUUGAUAUUAAUCUAAUAUUUUCAUACUUAAACACCAUUUCUUAAAAUAAAUAUCAAUUUGUUAAAAUUAAAAAAUAAAACGAGAAAAAGAAAGACAAAAUUUUCUGGUCAAUCAGAUUCAAAUACAUGGAUCACACUUUUGAGCUAUUGAAUUAACUUAGAUCUAAAGGUUAAGAUUAAUUCAUUUUAUUUUUGGCCCCCCCCCUCUCUCUCUCUCUCUCUCUCUCUCUCUCUCUCUCUCUCUCUCUCAUAUCUCUCAUCUCUACCAUCUCUCUCCACGCUUACUGAUUUUCUCUCAGCUCUCCCAUCUCUCUCCUACCUCGUCUCACUCGUCACUACCGUUACUCUCCAUCAAGGCAAGAAGGUACCUGUUACGCUCGCCUUCCCACAAUCACCAUGGUUCCAAACCCUGGUGU
rnacentral:lncRNA from 1 species